rnacentral:rRNA from 1 species
UACGGGGGAUGCAAGCGUUAUCCGGAAUUAUUGGGCGUAAAGCGUCUGUAGGUGGCUUAGUAAGUCUACUGUUAAAUACUAGGGCUUAACUCUGGAAUGGCAGUGGAAACUACUAGGCUUGAGUACGGUAGAAGUAAAGGGAAUUCCCAGUGUAGCGGUGAAAUGCGUAGAUAUUGGGAAGAACACCAACGGCGAAAGCACUUUACUAGGCCGACACUGACGCUAAGAGACGAAAGCUAGGGUAGCGAACGGGAUUAGAUACCCCGGUAGUCCUAGCCGUAAACGAUGGAUACUAAGUGGUGUGCGAAUUAUUCCGUACACUGCUGUAGCUAACGCGUUAAGUAUCCCGC